rnacentral:lncRNA from 1 species
AGAGGUGCUGAACACCACUUGGACUUGAAAAAUAGCCUGAAUUUCUACCAUCUUCAGUUACAGAAGAAAAUACUCAGCGCCAGAAUCUACCCCAGCACACAAAAGACAUCUCAAGAAAUACUGGUUGAGCACAAGGCUUACUACACAAGGAAGUUGAAUUGAUUCAACAGAAGUCCAGAGCUCCACUCCCGUUCCCCUCUGCAGGAUGAAUUAUACGUUCUUCAUUGUGAGGAGAGCCAGUUCAGAAAUUGGAACCUGAGGCCUGGUGGGAUCCAGCAACAAAGGCAACCCUCCAACCUCUGCUUUCCAGAUGGAAACCAGAUAUCCAGACUAGGGCCUUCACUUGCAGAAAAAGAGGAUGCUAUUGUUAGGAUAGCCUUCUGGACAGAAUAGCAUAUGUCACGAACUUCAGACUUAACGAUGAGUAAAGCAGCUUCCUGGCACUAGCACUGAUUGUCUCUUCAAAUUCUAUAGGAACUACAGCAAAUUCAGUUUGGAAAGCAUAUACGGGAACUGCAGCAUCAGCAUCCCACUAGGACACAAGCAGUCCCUGUACAGAAGCUGUUCACAGCCCCUGGGAGGGGAAGAUGAAGCCAGCAGAAAUCUUGAUGUAUGCCAUUUACAAAGGCAUUUCUGACGGUUACUUUGCCAAUCCGCCUUGAAGCUUCUCUGAGAGUUGUUCUGUAGUGUGUAGAAAGCGAACAUGUGGGUAUGUCUCUGCCAUACACAUAUCCUUCUAACUGUAAUUUUAUGAAUGCAGAUCUGACUAUGAGGUUCUGGACAGGCACAACUCUAGAUGAACAGGUAAGUCUCUGUCCUGAUAUAACUGGGCCAGUGUGUUUUUGAAGGCCUCCUGACAAAUGAAGUGAAUAGAGUCGAUUUGAAAAAGCCGAGACAGGGCAGCAAAUUAUCUUGGGAAGGUGAUAAGCCAGUCCUGUCUGAUUUCAUAGGCAGACCGUGGUCAGAUAUAGGCGCAGCAUGAUCAGAUAUCUUGCUGCAGGGUUUCUGAAGGCUUUCAGGAUUGUGUCUAAGCACAGUCUAGACUGAGAGCUAUCUGAGACUGAGGAGUUCCAUAGAAUGAAACAGAGAGAGUCCAAGGAGACUCAGGAGUCAAAGAAUGAGUAGGGAAUCCGCUAGAAUCGGAGGGUGAUCUAAACACUACCAAGUUUUCAGACACCAGCUGUGAGUUUUCCAAACUACUUGUGUUAAAGCAGAUUCCUCAGUCCUAAAUGACAGUGGCAACUUUGUCUUUUUCCCUUUGGGGCUUUUUCUUCUUCUCUGGGAGAAUGUGGGGAAAUAGGGACUUGAUAGUCUGCAAAAAUGCCCAGAAAUCUACGAAGUGCAAUCUCCUGUUAAGGUGAACCAUCCUAUCAUAAAAAUCUACUCAUAACCUAUUGGCAAUCCUUUUAAAAUAUAAUUGGUCUUCUUGCUCCUAUUAUGUCUCUCAAUGGGCUGUUUUAGUGACUCCCUGCUCUGCUCUUCGGAAACCUUAUUUUAGCUGUCACUGUGCCAGUAUACUCUUUUGGAAUGAAGAGCAAAUUCCUCUUCCAAAUGUAUUCCCUGAUGCGUUCAUAGGGAGCAAUCAAAUCACUGCUUAUCUAAUUGCUCGUUUGAGCAACCUCAGCCAUUUAGAUGCCUUAGCAAGAUGGGCUCUUCAUGAACCUUGUAUCCAGCCUACUGACCUACCGUCCUGUCACUGAAUGUGUUCUGUGCACCUGAUCCUGAUCUAAUUAAUUUUUUAAAUAAUGAUAACUAGAACAUGACAUCCCAGGGGAGGCUGCAUUAUUUCUUGCAAAUUGGAGUUAAUAAUUACUUUCCUCUGUUAAAAUAUCUUUCAGAUGAGGAUCAUCUUUGUCUUUUUUGUGUCUCCGUGUCAGUUACAUGUCAGAGGUGGGCCAUCAACCUAAUACAUAUGUCAUUGUCCCUGUACACCUCUGGUUGAUAAAGUGCCAACUUGAACCUGGAAAUCUUACAAGUCCUUGCAUUUCCAUCACAUUUCUACUACUCUUGACUUCAUAACUGAUCGUUGUUUUUGUGUGAUGUUCUUUUCCUUCUCUGUAUACAAUAUUUAGCCACCGUACUGAAAAUGCCUCCAACUGUGUCAUCAACAGAUUACAUUAGUCUUUCUG